rnacentral:lncRNA from 1 species
GGUAAGCUAUUCUAAUCCUUGCCAUCACUGUAUUAACUAUCAACUCUUUUAAUAUUCACUCCUUUUGGAAAUCAGCACAAUUGAUCUCGUGAAGAUCUAAGUAAAUCUUGGAUUUGCUAUUAGAAUAAAUUGAUGCACAUCUUUUUAAGGAUAUUUAUAAUACUAUUAAUGCUUUCAUAAUAGUAGCAACUCAUUUGCAGUGUCAAAGAUGUGCAAUUUAUUCACAUAAAGGGGUUUAAAAUUCUGUUGGGGAAGUGUUGCCCUUUGUUUGUUAUUUCCAGCAGAACUUCAAUUGUUGUAUAGAAAACGUCCCGUGAGCGAAUUGUGUACAAAAAACAGUGAUUUUCUUAUUUGUGUGCUUUGAGAAUUGAAAGGAAAUUUCAUACAUUACAACAGUGAAUCAGUUAUUCAGAAUUCUGUGAAUUAUGCUGGCCAUUCUUCCUGUUAGACUGGGGUGAAUAUUGAAAGGAGAUGCUCUGCAGCCACGUCCACAGCAGCCAGUUGAUGAUGGCUCUCCUUCCUGGUGUACGUAGUGUUCUACCGCUUUGUUGAGAUUUAACCAUGCCCCAGAACAACCAAUGAAGCAGUCACCAUGGGAACCCUCUGGGUGGCUGUCCACAGGUUCUCUAAGUGCUUCUCACCACCUGCCAGUCCAACCCCAUCCAGUAUGGCACCUGCCAUGCCUUUAGGUCUUGCUCAGUGUAUUUGGUAAUCAAGGUCCUUCUCCCCAGAGCUCUGAAGCUGGGACAGUACCUGCUGUUUGCGAAGGGGGCUGGCUGCCUCCUGGCUGAGCAUCAUCAGCUGACUGAUAGCCUCCGGCCAUCUACAUCGAGGGCCGUGGGCUUCUGAACACCUGCCACUGGAAGCCUGCCUCCUGCCUGCAACCUCACUUGCAUCCUGUCUUGUUCACCUGAUCCCAGAGCCGUUUCUCAGAGACAUGUGUUUCCUCUACUUACAGAGGGGUCUGGGGUUCCCUGGAUCACCCUGACAGGGAGCUGCUCCAUCCCUCUUUCCCUGCUCCCCAAGACAUCCCCUCUCAUUCCCAAAGAUCCCCGGGUCCCGGAGACAGCGGCUACACCGCACAGGGCAGACGACCCGACUCCGACUGAACAGGUACGGCUGAAAGAGACCUCACGUGCCCUGGGUGGCACUGCACUGACCGACAGCUCUCAUCCCACAUUUGCCUGAACCCAGAGAAUGACAACGCCAAGAGCGAGCCCUGCUGCAGACCGUGGACUCUGGUCGUCUGGGUAGGUUCUGAGUGUGUGUGUGUGUGGGGGGGGCGUUGGUAAUGGGGAGACUGUGCGAGCGGGGACAUGGGUGGACUUUAUUGGGAACCCCUGGACUUUCCUGUCCAUGUUGCUGUGAACCUUCAACUGCACCAAAAACUAAAAUCUAUUAAAAAAUACGUUAUAACCGCCACUUAGGAUAAUGCAGAUUUUCUUGCUCUUUCCAGAACCUCCAGAGACAGCUGUAAGAAAAUGAAUUGACUUUUGCUCAAAACACAGAAAUCCUCAGAACCAAAAAUAAUCCCAGGAAGGAAAUAAAAUACAAGACACGCAGAAUUCCGCA